GCCGCAGUAUUUUAACUGUGCAAAGGUAGCAUAAUCAUUUGUUACUUAAUUAGUAACUUGUAUGAAUGGUUUGAUAAAAUGUGUUCUUUUUUUAUUUUUUAUUUAAAAUUUUAUAUUAGAGUCAAAAAGCUUUAAUUUUUUUAUUAGACGAUAAGACCCUAUAGAACUUUAAUGUCUUAUUCCUAUCUAUUUUUUGAUUUAUUGAUAUUUAUGUUUAUAGAUAUUUUUAUUGGGGUGAUAGAUAAUUUUAAUUAACUUUAUUUUUUAUUUUUCAUAGAUUAAUGAUUAUUUUGAUCCAAUUUUUUUGAUUAAAAGAUUAAGUUACCUUAGGGAUAACAGCGUAAUUUUAUUGGAGAGUUCUUAUUAAUAAUAAAGUUUGCGACCUCGAUGUUGGAUUAAA
rnacentral:rRNA from 1 species